rnacentral:rRNA from 1 species
GAUGAACGCUGGCGGCGUGCCUAAUACAUGCAAGUCGAGCGAAUGGAUUAAGAGCUUGCUCUUAUGAAGUUAGCGGCGGACGGGUGAGUAACACGUGGGUAACCUGCCCAUAAGACUGGGAUAACUCCGGGAAACCGGGGCUAAUACCGGAUAACAUUUUGAACCGCAUGGUUCGAAAUUGAAAGGCGGCUUCGGCUGUCACUUAUGGAUGGACCCGCGUCGCAUUAGCUAGUUGGUGAGGUAACGGCUCACCAAGGCAACGAUGCGUAGCCGACCUGGAAGGGGGAUGGGCCACACUGGGACUGAGGCACGGCCCAGACUCCUACGGGGGGCAGCAGUAGGGAAUCUUCCGCAAUGGAAGAAAGUCUGACGGAGCAACGCCGCGUGAGUGAUGAAGGCUUUCGGGUCGUAAAACUCUGUUGUUAGGGAAGAACAAGUGCUAGUUGAAUAAGCUGGCACCUUGACGGUACCUAACCAGAAAGCCACGGCUAACUACGUGCCAGCAGCCGCGGUAA